UACGUAGGUGGCAAGCGUUGUCCGGAAUCAUUGGGCGUAAAGCGCGCGUAGGCGGCCCGGUAAGUCCGUUGUGAAAGUCAAAGGCUCAACCUUUGAACGCCGAUGGAUACUGCCGGGCUAGAGUCCGGAAGAGGCGAGUGGAAUUCCUGGUGUAGCGGUGGAAUGCGCAGAUAUCAGGAGGAACACCAAUAGCGAAGGCAGCUCGCUGGGACGGUACUGACGCUGAGGCGCGAAAGCGUGGGGAGCGAACAGG
rnacentral:rRNA from 1 species